GAUGAUAGGGAAAAUGUUUGAGUGAGAGAGAUGAAGGAGAAAGGGCUGAGAGGAAUAAGGAGGUGAGUAAGGGUUUGGGAUUUCUUCUUUUAGUUUUGAGAAUGAAAAUUAUUAAAAUAAGGCAAGUGUUUUUGAUUUUUUUCAAUUGGGGCUAGAGUAGGGAUGACAGAGAAAAGGUUGGAGUGAAAGAGAUGAAUGAGAAAGGGUUGAGAGGAAUGAGAGAGGUGGGUAAGGAUUU
rnacentral:lncRNA from 1 species